AUUGAACGCUGGCGGCAGGCCUAACACAUGCAAGUCGAGCGGAGCGGCGGACGGGUGAGUAAUGCCUAGGAAUCUGCCCGGUAGUGGGGGAUAACGUCCGGAACCGGGCGCUAAUACCGCAUACUAUUAGAUGAGCCUAGUUCGGAUUAGCUAGUUGGUGGGGUAAAGGCCUACCAAGGGGACGAUCCGUAACUAGUCUGAGAGGAGGAACAGUCACACUGGAACUGAGACACGAUCCACACGCCUGCGGGAGGCAGCAGUGGGGAAUGUUGGACAAUAGGCGAAAGCCUGAUCCAGCCAUGCCGAGUGUGUGAAAAAGGUCUUCGGAUUGUAAAGCACUUUAAGUUGGAAAACGUUACCAACAGAAUAAGCACCGGCUAACUUCGUUCCAGCAGCCGCGGUGAUAC
rnacentral:rRNA from 1 species